rnacentral:rRNA from 1 species
AUUGCCUUAGUAACGGCGAGUGAAGCGGCAACAGCUCAAAUUUGAAAUCUGGCCCUUGGGUCCGAAUUGUAAUUUGUAGAGGAUGAUUUUGGUGCGGUAUCUUCCGAGUUCCUUGGAACAGGACGCCUUAGAGGGUGAGAGCCCCGUACGGUUGAAUGCCUAGCCUCUGUAAAUCUCCUUCGACGAGUCGAGUAGUUUGGGAAUGCUGCUCUAAAUGGGAGGUAAAUUUCUUCUAAAGCUAAAUAUUGGCCAGAGACCGAUAGCGCACAAGUAGAGUGAUCGAAAGAUGAAAAGCACUUUGAAAAGAGGGUUAAAUAGCACGUGAAAUUGUUGAAAGGGAAGGAUUUGUGACCAGACUUUUUCUGGGCGGAUCAUCCGGGGUUCUCUCCGGUGCACUUCGCCCAGUAAAGGCCAGCAUCGGUUUUCGGCGUGGGAUAAAAGCAGUAGGAAUGUGGCUCUCUACGGGGAGUGUUAUAGCCUAUUGUAUAAUACCGCGCUGGGGACCGAGGUUCGCGCUUCUGCAAGGAUGCUGGCGUAAUGGUUAUCAAUCACCCGUCUUGAAACACGGACCAAGGAGUCGAACAUUUGUGCGAGUGUUUGGGUGUUAAACCCUCACGCGUAAUGAAAGUGAACGGAGGUGAGAGCCCUUACGGGUGCAUCAUCGACCGAUCCUGAAGUUUUCGGAUGGAUUUGAGUAAGAGCAUAACUGUUCGGACCCGAAAGAUGGUGAACUAUGCGUGGAUACGGUGAAGCCAGAGGAAACUCUGGUGGAGGCUCGCAGCGGUUCUGACGUGCAAAUCGAUCGUCAAAUCUGCGCAUGGGGGCGAAAGACUAAUCGAACCAUCUAGUAGCUGGUUACCGCCCAAUUUUCCCUCAUGAUAGCAGUGUUGUCUUCAGUUUAUGAGGUAAAGCGAAUGAUUAGGGACUCGCGGCGCUGUUUAGCCUUCAUCCUUCUCAACUUUAAUAUGUAUAAACCCUUGUACUUAUUGAACGUGGCAUUCCAAUGGACACACUAUUGGGCCAUUUUUGGUAGCAGACUGCCAUGCGGAUGAACCAAUCCG